rnacentral:lncRNA from 1 species
UGCUGCAUGGCCUACACUGCUUUGGUGAGGCCCCUAACCUGCUGAACUAGCAAGUCGAACUGCUCCAUGCCGACUGCUGUUGUCGGAGGAAGAGGAGCCUGAGAAACUAGAGACGAGGUCGGAGCUUGCGGAGCUCACUGAGAUCUGGCCAUGGAGGUCGUGGAUCGCCUGGUGGAUGCCUUUCAGAGAGGCAUCAGGUGGAGAUCUGGCAGGAGAAGGAGAAGAAGAUAUCAGAGAAGAUGAUCGGAGACAGUCCCGUUGAGCACUCCUUUAAGAACAAGGAUACUGCGAACACACAGCCCCUCCUCUAGCACCAAUUCUGUU